UACGUAGGGGGCAAGCGUUGUCCGGAUUUAUUGGGCGUAAAGAGCUCGUAGGCGGCUCGGUAAGUCGGAUGUGAAACCUCCAGGCUCAACCUGGAGACGCCAUCUGAUACUGCCGUGGCUUGAGUCCGGUAGAGGAGCAGGGAAUUCCUGGUGUAGCGGUGGAAUGCGCAGAUAUCAGGAGGAACACCAGCGGCGAAGGCGCUGCUCUGGGCCGGUACUGACGCUGAGGAGCGAAAGCGUGGGGAGCGAACAGG
rnacentral:rRNA from 1 species